rnacentral:lncRNA from 1 species
AUUAAUCAAGUAACAGAUUAUUACUAUAUCAAUAACUGGGACAUAUUAAGCCAAAAAGAUCAAUAACAUUUACUAAAUCAGUACAAAUAUAACAUAUUAGACAUUAAAAAGAAGCUUUGAGACAUAAAAUCCAUCAUAGAUGAGUUACUCCUAGUACCGUCCCAAUGAUUUUGCGUGAAGUGCGGCGAGAACAGCAGGGUGGAUCAACCAUUACUUCAUCUUUAC